rnacentral:rRNA from 1 species
GACGUAGGGCGCGAGCGUUGUCCGGAUUUAUUGGGCGUAAAGAGCUCGUAGGCGGCUUGUCGCGUCGUCCGUGAAAACCUGUGGCUCAACUGCAGGCUUGCGGUCGAUACAGGCAGGCUGGAGUUCGGUAGGGGAGACUGGAAUUCCUGGUGUAGCGGUGAAAUGCGCAGAUAUCAGGAGGAACACCGGUGGCGAAGGCGGGUCUCUGGGCCGAUACUGACGCUGAGGAGCGAAAGCGUGGGGAGCGAACAGG